rnacentral:rRNA from 1 species
UACGUAGGCAGCAAGCGUUGUUCGGAAUUACUGGGCGUAAAGAGUGUGUAGGCGGUGCUCUAAGUUCGGUGUGAAAUCUCCCGGCUUAACCGGGAGGGUGCGGCGGAAACUGGAGUGCUUGAGGGUGGGAGAGGUAAGCGGAAUUCCUGGUGUAGCGGUGAAAUGCGCAGAUAUCAGGAGGAACACCUGCGGUGUAGACGGCUUACUGGACCAUAACUGACGCUGAGGCACGAAAGCGUGGGUAGCAAACAGG